CCGAGCUUGCAAACUCCCACAACCUCGGCGACCGUACCCCCCCAUAAGUUGAUUCGGGACCGCUCCGGGUCACUUGGGCGCCGCCCCCUGAGUGGCCGUACAACCUCGUCUAUGCCUCAAAACCCUGUUCGUCAGUGAGUACUAUACGUGAUAUAAUAGUUA
rnacentral:misc_RNA from 1 species